rnacentral:rRNA from 1 species
GACGAACGCUGGCGGCGUGCUUAACACAUGCAAGUCGAACGAUGAAGCGCCAGCUUGCUGGUGUGGAUUAGUGGCGAACGGGUGAGUAACACGUGAGUAACCUGCCCCCUACUCUGGGAUAAGCCUGGGAAACUGGGUCUAAUACUGGAUAUGACCAAUCACUGCAUGGUGUGUUGGUGGAAAGCUUUUUUGGUGGGGGAUGGACUCGCGGCCUAUCAGCUUGUUGGUGGGGUAAUGGCCUACCAAGGCGACGACGGGUAGCCGGCCUGAGAGGGCGACCGGCCACACUGGGACUGAGACACGGCCCAGACUCCUACGGGAGGCAGCAGUGGGGAAUAUUGCACAAUGGGCGAAAGCCUGAUGCAGCGACGCCGCGUGAGGGAUGACGGCCUUCGGGUUGUAAACCUCUUUCACCAGGGACGAAGCUAACGUGACGGUACCUGGAGAAGAAGCACCGGCUAACUACGUG